CAGUAGCCGCGGGAAUACGGAGGGAGCUAGCGUUGUUCGGAAUUACUGGGCGUAAAGCGCGCGUAGGCGGUUACUCAAGUCAGAGGUGAAAGCCCGGGGCUCGACCCCGGAACUGCCUUUGAAACUAGGUGACUAGAAUCUUGGAGAGGUCAGUGGAAUUCCGAGUGUAGAGGUGAAAUUCGUAGAUAUUCGGAAGAACACCAGUGGCGAAGGCGACUGACUGGACAAGUAUUGACGCUGAGGUGCGAAAGCGUGGGGAGCAAACAGGAUUAGAUACCCCGGUAGUCCCUGUCUCUUAUAC
rnacentral:rRNA from 1 species